AUCUUCAAAUAAUUCAAUGAAAAGAAUAUUCAUUCCAUAUCAAACUCUAGAAUUUAUCAUGGUAUCAGAGCUUUAGGUCUUCAAACGCCAUACCUACGUUUGCCAUGGCCAAGGCUGCUCCUAUUUUGGAUGCCCAAAUAUCCCUCACAGAUGUUUUAUCUCCUUAUUAUUUGCAUUCGUCAGAUCAACCAAAUCUAUUCCUAGUCAAUACAUCUCUCAAUGGUGAUAAUUAUCCUACUUGGCGCCGAGCAAUCACUCGUGCACUAAAUGCCAAGAAAAAAUUGGGCUUCAUUCUCGGCACCAUCACACGUCCUGAUGGUGACACAGCAGCCGGACUUCUUUGGGACCGUUGUUGUGACAUGAUAAUGUCAUGGCUCCUCCAUUCAAUUGACCGUUCCCUUGCAGGCAGCCUCCUCUACUGCGCUACACCAAACGAUAAAUGGUUGGAACUAGAAACUCGAUUCCAGCAAAGCAACCGCACCAAAAUUUUUCGGCUCAAACGAGACUUAGCCAACCUCCACCAAGACCAACAAUCAAUCACUGAAUAUUAUGAAAAAUUGAAGGAACUAUGGGAUGAAUUAACCUCUUUACAAUCCAUCAAGUCGUGUACAUGUGGUGCUUCUAAAUCCCUCUCUGAGCUCCAAGAAUCUGAUCGUAUAUAUCAAUUUCUCAUGGGUCUCAACGAAAGUUUCGGACAACUUCACUCACAGAUUUUGGCCAUUGAUCCCCUGCCUUCAACAAUAGAUGUUAUGUCAUACUCCAUCAAGAAGAGACCCAGCGUCUAGUUCAACAGCCCACACCUCAACUAGAAGUCUUGACCUUCACCGCCCGCUCGUCGACACCAUCACAGCCUCCGUCACGCCCUCAUCGUACUUGGGCUGCUGGAACGAACCUUUGUGAAGUGUGCGGCAAAUCAGGACACCCUCGUAACAAGUGCUUCGAAGUAAUUGGGUACCCGGAUUGGUGGCCAUUCAAGAACAAAUGUGGCAAAACCCGCCUCUCAUCACUGGCAGUCCACCAAGUGUCGGCCGCCUCUAACACUCCCACAACAAGCGGCGUUACAGGACUUUCCACCAACUAGUACAACCAACUCCUAGAACUUCUCACACUGGGAUCUCUUUCAUUUCAGGUAACUUUAAUACCCCCAAUUCCUUCUCUAAUUGCAAAUCGUGGGUUAUUGAUAGUGGAGCUACCCACCAUAUUGCAAAUCAGCCCUUUCCAAAUUCUUAAGUUGCUACUUUGCCCCUAUUGUAAACCCGUCUCCCGUUAAUUCCAAUUCUAAUGUUUCUCCCCUUCUGUAUGUCUCCCCACAGGUGCACACGCCUCUGUGCUCACUAUAAGUGAUAUUUCUAUAUCUCAUAAUCUCACUCUUUCCAAUGUUCUAUCUGUUCCUGAUUUUCAAUUUAAUCUAUUAUCUAUUAGAAAGCUAACCAAAUCUCUUAACUGUGUUGUCACGUUUUUUCCUACCUUAUGCACUUUUCAAGACCUAACCAUGACAAAGCUAAUUGGCGUGGGUGAAGAGCGUAAUAGACUUUACUAUUUCAAGCCUACUCCUGCAAUUACUCUCCAAUCAACCGGUCAAGUUCCUUUUACUACAUGGCAUCAACGUUUGGGUCAUCCCUCUUUACAUACUGUUCCUCAAUUUAUUUCUCGUCCUAAAAUUAUUAAACAUUGUGACGCAUGUAAUCGUGGAAAACAUACUCGGUUACCUUUUCAGUUAAUUGAUAAUAAGAGUUUGAUACCCUUUGAAUGUAUUUUUUGUGAUAUUUGGGGUGGUUACCAUAAAGCUUCUUUUUCUGGUGCUCAUUAUUUUUUAACCAUAGUUGAUGAAUUCACUCGAGUCACGUGGGUAUACUUAAUGCGUUAUAAAUCCGAAACUCUAACCUGCCUCUAUACAUUUUUUUCUAUGAUUCAUACGCAAUUUAAUUCCAAAAUUUGUCACAUUCGCACUGAUAAUGGUCAAGAAUUCAUCGCUCGCAAUACCUAGGAUUUUUUUUUCUAAACAGGGUACUCUCCAUGAACGCACUUGUGUGGAAACACCACAACAAAAAUGGUGUUGCCGAACGAAAACAUCGUCACAUCUUAAAUGUGGCUCGAUGUCUACGUUUUCACGCUUACCUCCCUCUUACCUUUUGGGGUGAGUGUCUCCUUACCGCCACUUAUCUCAUCAAUCGCAUUCCUUCAUCCUUCCUACAAAAUAUAUCCCAUUUUGAGCGUCUUUAUAGGACAACACCCCGUUAUGAUCAAUUGUGGGUUUUUAGUUGUCUUUGUUACGCUCACACUAUCUCUGCCAACCGUGACAAAUUCCAACCUCGUGCCCGUCCUUGUAUUUUCCUAGGGUACCCUUCGACUCAUAGGGCAUAUCGUGUUUAUAAUCUUGAAACCAAGAAGUUUAUUAUCUCUCGAGACAUCACCUUUGUUGAACAUAUUUUUCCCUUCCAAUUAUUGCCUCAACCUUCUUUUGUACCCCUUGUCUUGCCUUUCCCUGUUCCCGAUUCUCGUACUCCAUUAGACUGACCCUCUAUCCCAUCUGGUCCUACAUUAUUCCAUCCUGAUGCUUUUCUCGUUUCUCCCCUUGCUCGGCCUCAACGCACUAUACAUCGUCCUUCUUAUCUCGCUGACUAUGUCUGCCCUACUCUACCAUCGCCUUCAUCCAUUACGCCUUCUACUGCUCCGGUCACUUCUUCAGGUACGGUUCAUCCCCUCGCUCGCUUUGUUUCAUAUAGUAAUUUUUCUCCUGCUCACUUUACUUUCUUAUCUGCUUUAUCACAAUUGAUAAAUGUAGUUUCUACACUUAUUUGGAAUUCUAAAUGAUGAUACUUUGUUAUUUUUUGAGUGGAUUAGUACCUGAUUUGUUAUUUAUUGCUUUUAUUAGGAAAAGUUCAUGUUUCAAAGAAGAAUUGGAAAAAAGAACAGAAAAUGGCUAAAUGAAACAAAUCCAAAGUAUGGGGACCAAAGUGUAAAUAUUUAAUGGUUGAUUUGGACCACAAAAGAUAAUUUGAAGAUUGAUAGAAGUCAAUUAAAUGCAAAUUGGAGUAAAAAAGGAAAGGGAUAUGAUUAGAAUAUUACCAUAAACCGACUUCAAAUCAUAUAGGAUAUCUUCAAGAUUUUUGUUCAACUUGAGACCCAUUUUUCAGAUGGAGAACAUUUGAAUUGGAAAAAUUGUAUUUCUAGAAGAAUUGUAGAUCUGUUAAUUAGCGUUCCAAUGCACUUUGCAUCACCUAAAUCGGAAAUUGAGAGAGAAAGUUAUGAUUAAAAUGCUGAAUGCUAUGCAGAGACAAAAUUAUGUGCGCGCGAAUGCAACUUUCCUUAUUUAAUUCAAACUCUUUUGGAAGACAAUUUGGACAUGAAUUUUGACCUAAUUUCAGAAAAUAAAUACAAAAAUUUCUCUCUCUUGCCUCUUCAUACACAAUAGUUUCAUCAAAUUCAUCAAGAACAAGGAGCCAAUUGCUAUAUUUUGAGAGAGAAGAUCAAGCCAUAGCAAGGAAUUGAAGUUCAAUUACAUCAAGUUUUGAAGAAUUCAACUUUGGACGUGAAGAUCAACAUCUUUUGUGUUCUUUCAUGAUCCGGGUGAUAUUUUUCUAUUAUUCUUCUUGUAAUUUAUAUAUUAAUAUGCUAGGCUAGUUUUUUAUUGUAUUGGAUGAAUGAUGAACCCUAUCAUUUGUUUAUUUCAAUUUAAG
rnacentral:lncRNA from 1 species